AAUCUCAUAGGGCACACUAAUCGAAAGAUUAGGCCGCAAAGCUUCGGAGUCUAACGGUCUUAUGACCUAUGACAGUCCGGCUGCAACU
rfam:Paenibacillus alvei DSM 29 PAV_1c, whole genome shotgun sequence.